ACUACGGGUGGCAGCAGUGGGGAAUAUUGGGCAAUGGGCGCAAGCCUGACCCAGCAACGCCGCGUGAAGGAAGAAGGCUUUCGGGUUGUAAACUUCUUUUCUCAGGGACGAAGAAAGUGACGGUACCUGAGGAAUAAGCCACGGCUAACUACGUGCCAGCAGCCGCGGUAAUACGUAGGUGGCAAGCUUUAUCCGGAUUUAUUGGGUGUAAAGGGCGUGUAGGCGGGAGAGCAAGUCAGAUGGGAAAACUCAGGGCUCAACCCUGAGCCUGCAUUUGAAACUGUGUUUCUUGAGUGCUGGAGAGGCAAUCGGAAUUCCGUGUGUAGCGGUGAAAUGCGUCGAUAUACGGAGGAACACCAGUGGCGAAGGCGGAUUGCUGGACAGUAACUGACGCUGAGGCGCGAAAGCGUGGGGAGCAAACAGGAUUAGAUACCCGGGUAGUC
rnacentral:rRNA from 1 species